GAUGAAGAACGUAGCGAAAUGCGAUAAGUAGUGUGAAUUGCAGAAUUCAGUGAAUCAUCGAAUCUUUGAACGCACAUUGCGCCCUUUGGUAUUCCAAAGGGCAUGCCUGUUCGAGCGUCAUUUGUACCCUCAAGCUUUGCUUGGUGUUGGGCGUCUUGUCUCUAGCUUUGCUGGAGACUCGCCUUAAAGUAAUUGGCAGCCGGCCUACUGGUUUCGGAGCGCAGCACAAGUCGCACUCUCUAUCAGCAAAGGUCUAGCAUCCAUUAAGCCUUUUUUUCAACUUUUGACCUCGGAUCAGGUAGGGAUACCCACUGAACUUAAGCAUAUCAAUAAGCGGAGGA
rnacentral:misc_RNA from 1 species